ACUAUUUUGGCAGAUAAAUGCAGUAAAUUUAGAAUUUAUUAAUGUAAUAUAUAUUACAUGUAGUA
rnacentral:tRNA from 1 species